rnacentral:lncRNA from 1 species
GCCAGCAGUGGACACUAACUCUUAACCUAACCCUAAUUCGAUCAUAUUAGGUUAGCUCAAAAGUCCCAAUCAACUAAGACUCUUUCUAAUUAAUUCUUGAAUUAAAAUUUUUUAAUUAUGAUGAGUCCACAAGUCAAGAUUGAUGUCUAGCAAUGUGUCAUGACUAUCUAAAAGAUUUAGAAUUUUGAUAAAAUUAUCAAAAUAUCUUUCAGUGAUAAGUUAUCG